UUGGGGGGAAACAGGAGCAGAAUCACUGCGCACCGCACGUUAUCACGUCACUCCUCGCGUGAGGGGAGUAGGAGGAGCGUCACAAACUGCUC
rnacentral:lncRNA from 1 species